rnacentral:rRNA from 1 species
UCCGAAGGGGGCUAGCGUUGUUCGGAAUUACUGGGCGUAAAGCGCGCGCAGGCGGCUAUCCAAGUCAGUGGUGAAAGCCCGGAGCUCAACUCCGGAACUGCCAUUGAAACUGUUUAGCUUGAGUAUGAGAGAGGUGAGUGGAAUUCCCAGUGUAGAGGUGAAAUUCGUAGAUAUUGGGAAGAACACCGGUGGCGAAGGCGGCUCACUGGCUCAUUACUGACGCUCAGGCGCGACAGCGUGGGGAUCAAACAGG